GACGAACGCUGGCGGCGUGCUUAACACAUGCAAGUCGAACGGAAAGGCCCUGCUUGCAGGGUACUCGAGUGGCGAACGGGUGAGUAACACGUGGGUGAUCUGCCCUGCACUUCGGGAUAAGCCUGGGAAACUGGGUCUAAUACCGGAUAUGACCUUUCUUGUAGUGUGUGGUUGGGAAAGUUUUUUCGGUUUGGGUGGGGCCCGCGGCCUUCCACCUUGUUGGUGGGUUAUGGGCCUACCAAGGCGUUGACGGGUAGCCGGCUGGAGGGGGGGGACGGCCACAUGGGGCCGGGGAAACGGCCCAGACUCCUAGGGGAGGCAGAGGUGGGGAAUAUGGCACAAGGGGCGGAGGCCGUAGGCGGCGACGCGGCGUGGGGGAUGACGGCCUUCGGGUGGAAAACCUCUUUCGACAGGAACGAGGCUUCGGUGACGGUACCUAUAGAAGAAGCACCGGCUAACUACGUG
rnacentral:rRNA from 1 species